GUAUUCUAUGGGGUGCAAGCUUUAAAUGCAACUUAAGUACUAAUUUAUUUUGUCAGACCCCCAUGUAAAUGGUGCAUUACUUGCUAGCCAACAUGAAUGUUAUAUA
rnacentral:ncRNA from 1 species